UUAAUAUUUAAAAAUUAAAAUAUAAAUUUAAAUCAGAUCAAGAUGCAGAUUAUAAUUAAGAAUAUAAUGGAUUACAAUAAAUUUAUUUAAAUGAAUAUUAAUUUGGAAAAAUUAAUUAAAGGUGGAUUUAAAUGUAAUUUUAUUUAAUUUAUUAAAAUGAUUAAAAAUUAAAAUAUGU
rnacentral:rRNA from 1 species